GAAGCAAACACAAUUAUAUAAAUUUAUAAGAAGAGUUGUUGAUUUCUAUUUUUUUUUGCGAGAUUAAAGAUUUUCGAUAUCAAACUUCAGUUUUAAAAUAUCCCGUAUUCUUCUGUCGAAAGCUCUCAUCGAAAGUAUGGAAGUCUCUGCUUGGUUUGUUAUUGUCUCAGUCGCUACUCAUCAAGAGGUAAAUAAUUCUCAGUUAUUUUAUUCAUUCAGUUUCCAGUAGUAUUUUGGAUUUGAGUUGUGUUUUUAUGGGCUUCAAAAUACUUUUACUUGAUAUGUUGUACUCUAAAUGAUACCUUUAGCCCUCACCUUAUUUCUCUCGGUAACUGGUAGUGUAUAUUUCGUUUUGAAGUAAUUGAAUGUAUGUUCGAAUUUAUUUUAUCCGUUCUUAAUUCCCUCAAGCUCGUGACAAUAGUGCUUGCCUCAAUAGUUAGU
rnacentral:misc_RNA from 1 species